CGUAGGGGGCAAGCGUUGUCCGGAUUUAUUGGGCGUAAAGCGCGCGCAGGCGGCUCGGAGAGCCCGGCGUGAAAGCCCCCAGCUUAACUGGGGGAGGUCGUCGGGGACCUCGGGGCUGGAGGCCGGUAGGGGCGAGCGGAAUUCCCGGUGUAGUGGUGGAAUGCGUAGAGAUCGGGAGGAACACCAGUGGCGAAGGCGGCUCGCUGGCCCGGACCUGACGCUCAGGCGCGAAAGCGUGGGGAGCGAUCCGGAUUAGAUACCCGGGUAGUCCACGCCGUAAACGAUGGGCACUAGGUGUCGGGGGUAUCGACCCCCCCGGUGCCGUCGCUAACGCAGUAAGUGCCCCGCCUGGGGACUACGGCCGCAAGGCUA
rnacentral:rRNA from 1 species